CUGUCCCAGAAACCCUGUCCUGAACCUGUCUCUUGUGUAAAAUAAUGACACCUGUCUCAUUAAUUUAACGCCUCUAACUCCGUUAACUCCCCCCCUUUUUCAUUUUUUUUUUUAUUCCGAAACUUUUCUCACAGUACCAAUCCGCCUGGGUUUCUAGUGCAAGUUCAUGAUCGGCCUCUAUUCACCAAUUGCAUCACAAGGAAGACUUUCAAAAACGUUGAAGAAGACCACCAAAAUAACUAUGAAAAAAAAAAAAAAAGCCCGAAAUCAAAAUGUCAUCUUUUUCGAUCAAUUUUGUUUAGAGAUGAAUACCUUGCGUUGCUUAGAAACGCCAUCUGCGAUCUGAUUGAGAAGCAGGGGAUUUGGCACCGACCCGAACCGGUUCGACUAGAGAGACGGCAAAACCUCCGACGAAGACGUCCUGGGUUUCUGCCUACUGCACCAGAGCUGGUUGGUUUGCUGGCAGAGCUUAAAGAUGCACUUACGAGAGCUUGAAAACAGGGUCAAUCCAAUUUUAAUCAAGCUAUUAUUCAUGUUUCAUCAGCAUUUUGUUUAUAACUUUGAGUUUUAUUCUAUGCUUCUUUUGGUAGGAAUGUCAGUGUUGUUGGCCUUCCCUCUGUUCUCAUCUCUGCAUGGAGCAUUUGCUAGCUAGGAAGAGUAAUCAGGAAAUAUUCUUAUGAUAAUCCUGGUAUAUGAACUGUAAUGACUUGUGUUGCAAGUUGGGAUGAAUUGGUCAAGGAAUUUGUGAAAGCUGGCAGUGAGGAGAAUUAGGCAAUCCUUUCCAAGGUCGACGACAAAAUUGUGGAAGCUUCUCUGAAUCAACUCAAAUUGUUCCUGAGAAAAUGGAGAGGGUGAGAUAUUUGGAAAGGGAGACAACAGAUUUUGGAAGAGUAUUUGGCCACGUUUCUACACCCUCAGUGAUAUCAUUUGAGGUCCUGAUGCCCUCUCCACAAAGUUAGACCGGGAAAACCAAUUGAGAAAAGCUUUUGAAGCUGCAAAAGGUUUGGAGCAUCUCCAUGAACAGAGAUACUUAGGAUGCCAAUACAAACUUUGAGCUGACAAAGUUUGAUGAUGAAAAUAUAAACUUUGAGCUUUUAUGGGAGUGUCGGCUACGUGUCUUAGUGUUUGUGAUAUAUGUACAGACUUUUCUAUUUUGUAUCCUUUUGAUCAUCGAGGAAUUGUGAAAUGCAUUAGCAGUUCAUCCUCUUACAGAUCUUUGCUGACAUGAAAUUUCUGACCAUCGACUUUUGUUGUACGGCUCUUCUCUUCUGGCUUUUAGGCUGCAUCAGUAUUGGAGAAUGUGGAUUAUGAAAAGUAGUAAUUUAGAGCCUACAAAGAAGGAAGGUAAAACAAGUGAGAGAGUGACGGCCAGGUCUGCCACCAAGGAUAAGAUUUUACUUCCUAGCUCUCCGACGACUUCUCAGCAAUGGAACCCAACUCCACUUGUAGCCUUGAAGGCUUAAGCUGAACAAAAUGCUGCUACCUUUCAGUUUCCUGGGCACAACAGAGGUCGAGCUGCACCAAAUUUUAUAGCUGAACUUAUUGGUUUAAAACCUUUUCUUCAUGACUUACCGGGGGACAUACAGUUGAAUCCCCAGAUAUUAGAAGUUAAAAGAGUAACAGCAUGUAGCGAUAUCCCAGUUUACACUAGUCUACAAAGAUAAGCAAAUUCGUAGUUUCCAAUUAA